rnacentral:rRNA from 1 species
GACGAACGCUGGCGGCGCGCCUAACACAUGCAAGUCGAACGAGGCCUUUUAGGAGCUUGCUCCUGGCUGGCCUAGUGGCGGACGGGUGAGUAACACGUGAGGAACCUGCCCAGAAGAGGGGGAUAACGUCUGGAAACGGACGCUAAUACCGCAUAACAAACAGAGAUGGCAUCAUUUUUGUUUCAAAGGAGCAAUCCGCUUUUGGAUGGACUCGCGCCCGAUUAGAUAGUUGGUGAGGUAACGGCUCACCAAGUCGACGAUCGGUAGCCGGACUGAGAGGUUGAACGGCCACAUUGGGACUGAGACACGGCCCAGACUCCUACGGGAGGCAGCAGUGGGGAAUAUUGCACAAUGGGGGAAACCCUGAUGCAGCGACGCCGCGUGAGGGAAGAAGGUUUUCGGAUUGUAAACCUCUGUCUUUGGUGACGAAACAAAUGACGGUAACCAAGGAGGAAGCCACGGCUAACUACGUGCCAGCCGCCGCGGUAAAAC